CAGUGGUUCAGAUGUUCAGAAGAAGAGCCUGAAGGUCCAGCAGUGGUUCAGAUGUUCAGAAGAAGAGCCUGAAGGUCCAGCAGUGGUUCAGAUGUUCAGAAGAAGAGCCUGAAGGUCCAGCAGUGGUUCAGAUGUUCAGAAGAAGAGCCUGAAGGUCCAGCAGUGGUUCAGAUGUUCAGAAGAGCCUGAAGGUCCAGCAGUGGUUCAGAUGUUCAGAAGAGCCUGAAGGUCCAGCAGUGGUUCAGAUGUUCGCUCAGCUGGCUCUAAGUGGGUAAAAAUAUUCAAACAAAUCCUUCACUGAAUAUUUUCUUCACCAGUGGAACAGCAUGAAUGAAAACAUGUCAGAGCUGAUUGACUUCCUGUUGGGUCACAGAUCCAGUUAAUGUCUUGUUAGGACGAGUUUAUGUUUAAAUUUAAUUCUCUUAAACCCUUUAUAUGAAUAAACUAUAAAGUGUGAUGAAGAAGAAACCAAACUGUGUAAAACAGGCUCAGUGUUGGACUGAGAAGGUCGCUGAUGUAGAACGUUUCUCCUGAUAAAUGAACACCAGAGACUGAUGAGAGCAGCCAGAGCUGGUUUAUGAGCUUCCAGUAGUCGAAUCAUCUGAUGAAAUCACUGUUCAGGUGGUUUGUUUCUGCCAUAUUUAUGUUCAGUCUGACUGCAGCUACAAAAACAGAAGCUGUAGAAACUCUGCAGUCAUGAAAAAAGAAACUUUAAAAUUGUUGAUUUUAUCAUUUUAAAGGUUACCAUUUAUUAAAAACUGUUAAAAGUCAUGAAGUGAAACUUCAACAUUUGGUCUAUUUUCUGUAUUUUGUUUCUCUGCUCCUUUAAUUCUUAUGGAGACGCUUUGAUCGGUUCCAGUCCGACUCCUCUGUAGCCGAACAUGAUUUCUUUAAAGCCUCGUAUUUAUUCAAGUUGAAUUUCUGGGUCUCUUGACUACAGAGCAGUUCUAGCUGCUGUAGAAAUUAAAACAUUCAGUCCACACAGACUUUAAACCAGUAAAGGUGGAAACUUUAACAAGGAAACCAAACUGGGAG
ensembl:lncRNA